rnacentral:rRNA from 1 species
GUGAAGCUGGAUUCGCUAGUAAUCGCGCAUCAGCCAUGGCGCGGUGAAUACGUUCCCGGGCCUUGUACACACCGCCCGUCAAGCCAUGGGAGCCGGGGGUGCUUGAAGUGCGUCGCCGCAAGGCGCGCCCUAGAGCAAAACCGGUGACUGGGGCUAAGUCGUAACAAGGUAAC